rnacentral:rRNA from 1 species
CCUACGGGCGGCAGCAGUGGGGGAUAUUGCACAAUGGGGGAAACCCUGAUGCAGCGACGCCGCGGGAGUGAAGAAGGAGUUCGGUAGGUAAAGCUCUAUCAGCAGGGAAGAAAAUGACAGUACCUGACCAAGAAGCCCCGGCUAACGACGGGCCAGCAGCCGCGGUAAAACGUAGGGGGCAAGCGUUCGCCGGAUUUACGGGGUGUAAAGGGAGCGGAGACGGUUAGGGAAGUCUGGAGUGAAAGCCAGGGGCCCAACCCCGGGACUGCUUGGGAAACUGUGUAACGGGAGUACAGGAGGGGCCGGCGGCAUUCCUGGUGUUGCGGUGUAAUGCGUCGAUAUCCGGAGGCACCCCGGCGGCGAAGGCGGCCUGCUGGACUGAAACUGCCGCUGCUGCGC